ACGAGCGCAACCCUCGUCCUUAGUUGCUAACAGUUCGGCUGAGAACUCUAAGGAGACUGCCUACGCAAGUAGGAGGAAGGUGAGGAUGACGUCAAGUCAUCAUGGCCCUUACGUCCAGGGCUACACACGUGCUACAAUGGGGUAUACAAAGAGCAGCAAUACGGUGACGUGGAGCAAAUCUCAAAAAUGCCUCCCAGUUCGGAUUGUAGUCUGCAACUCGACUACAUGAAGUUGGAAUCGCUAGUAAUCGUAGAUCAGCUAU
rnacentral:rRNA from 1 species